GUUUUCUAUUGCUGUGUAAUAAAUUAUCACAAGCUCAGAGGCUUAUAACAAUAAUUCUUUAUGAUCUCCCAAUUUCCAUAGGAGUCAGCAUGGCUCAGCUGGGUCCUUUGCUUGGGGUUUCACGAGGCUACAAUGAAGGACUCAUUCUUCUCCAGGAAGGGAAACUGGAGGAGGAUUCAUUGGUCCUUGCUAUUCAGAAAGCUGUGGCCUGAGUUUUUCUAUUGCCAAGCCAAAUAUGAGCUCCAUACAGGAACAAGGGAAAGAAUCCUGGUUGACAGAAAGAGAUGUAACAGGAAGCGUGUGCCAGGAGUGAAACCAUAUAAUGAUGGUCCUCCAAUUGACUU